CUCACCAUAGCCUCCCUCUGCCCCAGCUCUGCCCACUCUAGCUAGUCUCACCCACCAACUCCAAGCUUACCUUUCCCUGGCACCUGACCUACCCACACCUUGAUCUCAAGGCUUUGACUAAUCCUUGGCCUGACUCCAAGAGCUUUGCCCCCAUGGCCCUGUCAUGACCCCCCACCCCCAGCCCACACCAUACCUCUCUCAGAUUCCGCUGUUCUCACUAGCAUCUCAAGAGCCCGAAAUCAAGAUAAGUCUUUUCCUCUCCUACUUCCCAAAGAACUUAGUCACUGCCCUCUGCAGAGUGCUUGCUACCCAAAAGAGAAGGAAGAGGCCCCACCCAACCCCUGCUUUCCCACUGAGGAGGUUCUAGAAGGCCACAUCAAAUGUCCUCUCCACUCAGGUGCAAACUGGCUCAGUCUAAUGGCUGGGGGGUGAUGGUGAGCCACCGCUCUGGGGAGACUGAGGACACAUUCAUUGCUGACCUUGUGGUGGGGCUCUGCACAGGACAGAUCAAGACUGGCGCCCCCUGCCGCUCGGAGCGUCUGGCCAAAUACAACCAACUCAUGAGGAUCGAGGAGGCUCUUGGGGACAAGGCAAUCUUUGCUGGACGCAAGUUCCGUAACCCGAAGGCCAAGUGAGAAGCUGGAGGCUCCAGGACUCCACUGGACAGACCCAGGUCUUCCAGACCUGCUUCCUGAAAUAAACACUGGUGCCAACCAA
rnacentral:sRNA from 1 species